rnacentral:rRNA from 1 species
AAUGAACGCUGGCGGCAUGCCUAACACAUGCAAGUCGAACGAGUGGCGGACGGGUGAGUAAUGUCUGGGAAACUGCCUGAUGUAGGGGGAUAACUACUGGAAACGGUAGAUAAUACCGCAUACCGUCGGCUGUGGCCAGAUGGGAUUGGCUAGUAGGGGGGGUAAAGGCUCACCUAGGCGACGAUCCCUAGCUGGUCUGAGAGGAUGACCAGCCACACUGGAACGUGGACACGGGCCAGACUCCUACGGGAGGCAGCAGGGGGGAAUAUUGCACAAUGGGCGAAAGCCUGAUGCAGCCAUGCCGCGUGUAUGAAGAAGGCCUUCGGGUGGGAAAGUACUUUCAGCGGGGAGGCGUUACCCGCAGAGGAAGCACCGGCUAACUCCGUGCCAGCAGCCGCGGUAAUUC